GCCUAGGAACCAUACUCCCAUCUGUCAUGGCAGCUGCAGCAAGCCUCACCCAAGGAGAGUCUGGCUGGAGGCCAAACAACACAAAACCAGCACACUUAACAAAAAUAUAACCAAUGACCCUUGCAGAGUCCACUUAACUCCCCUCCACCAGAGCAGGUGCUGGUAUCCACAGCUGAGAGACCUGAAGAUGGAUCACAUCACAGGACUCCUUGCAGACAUUCUCCAGUACCAGCCCAGAGCCUGACCUGUCCACGCUGAGUUUAUAGCAACUGUCAAUUACGGUUCAGAUUUUCCUACCCCAGCGUGACUUUCCAAAGAGGCUUCUGCUCAUGGAUUUCUGCUCCAGGAAGAUGCAACAGGAAGGUCCUCACAAGAUGGCUGAACAGAUGCAGGUGCUGUGCCUCUGGACUGCCUAGCCUCCAGAACUAUGCAAUACCAAGUAAAGACUGCAAAUGACUGUGCCACAGGGAGGAAAAGCAGUCAACCUGUCUUUAGGGACCUGUUCAAAUUUCUGGUGUCUCAGUGGAUGUUGAUUUCUGACAUAAAGCCAUUUGUGCACAUGAGGAAGAUACUGUAGGAGGCAUUUGCUGUGAGCCAGUGUUUGGUCUUUAGCUGAAACAGACAUUUAGCCAUAAACCACCAACCAGAAAGAUCAAUAAGACACGGUUCCUCUUCUGGUGGGCCACAUAAAGGAAGUUGUCAUGUUCCAACUUAAUGUGUGGGUUGAGAGGGAUCUGCACAAACGAGCGUCAUCGGGGAGAAAAAUAUAUCCCAGUCUGCGUGGUCACGGGGAGCUUCCUGGGCAAGCAACAUCUAGACUGGUGUUUGACCAAACUACUGGGCACCAUACCCCAGCCAAGUCAGCAUAUAAUGUGAACCAUCACAGUGGGAGACAUGUCACAAAGUGGUAAGACAGCAAGAAUUGGUGGUCUGGGCUGGAUUCCAGAGAACCUGGACUGUGCCUAUGAAGCACCACUGCCCUGUAGACCUGGGAUAAUAAACACUGAUGCCUAAAGGGACCAGGCAGUAGACCUGACUGGGGAGCUAAGUGAUCUCGUGUGACUCUCUAUGCCUCGUUGCCACCAGCGUGGGCCAUCUCCAGGGGCUCUCAAACCGAUAGAAGACCUUGCGGUGUGGGAAAACAGCUCCAGAGCUUCUAAGCUGAGCGGAUUGUUCCUAGUGAGGAAGAUUCCCAGCCGUCUUGUCAUGAGAACACAUUGCCUCAUACUUGCUGCAAUAGAGUUGAAUAAGUAACAGCUUUUAAAUUGGAUUAUCAACUCACAUUGCUACCAAAUACGAGCAUAUCAAUAGCAAGUCAUUUGGGCAUGCAGCUCUCAGCCGAGCAGCACUGGCAGCACCGGUGAGCUUGUCAAAGAGGCACAUUCACGGGCCCUAACACCAACUACUCUCUUGGGAUGGAGUCCAGGAAACAGCUUUGAGAAAUCUUUCAGGUCUUGUCCCAUCUGUUCCAAGCUAUUUGUCCAUGUAAAACUGUCAACGUUCCAAGCCACUGACUGACAGGGUAAGAAGAGUGAGUCUCAAGAGAGUGAGGAACGGUGAAUCUUUGGCAGACUCUGUGUGUGCCCAUGGAAGAGACAGUGACAGAAAUUAUGUAAUGAAAAAAAUGUAGCACAAGCCUUAUGAAUUUUUACUUUUCACUCCAUGGGAUUCCCAUAUCAAAAGACCUAUUCUACACAAAAUAAAGUUCUCUAUGAAGAAUUGUCUCUGCUCCCCAAGCUAGUUAAAACAAAAGUUGUAAUAGAAUAUCUGAGAACCAAAUGGCCCCUCAGGAUCCUAGAAUCCGAAAGACAAAUAGCAUGCUAAUAAAUAGAAUUGG
rnacentral:lncRNA from 1 species